AACGAACGCUGGCGGCAUGCCUAACACAUGCAAGUCGAACGAGACCUUCGGGUCUAGUGGCGCACGGGUGCGUAACGCGUGGGAACCUGCCCUUAGGUUCGGAAUAACUCCCCGAAAGGGGUGCUAAUACCGGAUAAUGUCUUCGGACCAAAGAUUUAUCGCCUUUGGAUGGGCCCGCGUUGGAUUAGCUAGUUGGUAGGGUAAAAGCCUACCAAGGCGACGAUCCAUAGCUGGUCGGAGAGGAUGAUCAGCUACACUGGGACUGAGACACGGCCCAGACUCCUACGGGAGGCAGCAGUGGGGAAUAUUGGACAAGGGGCGAAAGCCUGAUCCAGCAAUGCCGCGUGAGUGAUGAAGGCGUUAGGGUUGUAAAGCUCUUUUACCCGGGAUGAUAAUGACAGUACCGGGAGAAUAAGCUCCGGCUAACUCCGUG
rnacentral:rRNA from 1 species